AAGUCGUAACAAGGUUUCUGUAGGUGAACCUGCAGAAGGAUCAUUAGUGAAGAUUUGGGCAGGCCAUACGGACGCCAAAAAAGUGUCCCUGGCCGCCUACACCCACUAUACAUCCACAAACCCGUGUGCACUGUCUUGGAGAAAGGCUUCUUGAGAAGUUAUGUGACCUCUCUUGGAGGUCUUUCUUCGCUACAAACUCGAAUGGUUAGUAUGAACGUGGAACUUGGUUGGACCGUCACUGGCCAACAAACUAUACACAACUUUCGACAACGGAUCUCUUGGUUCUC
rnacentral:misc_RNA from 1 species